ACAGCAGUGGAGUUGGCGUGUUUGCUCUCAACAUUUCUCACUGGAGGAUUACACCACAUCAGUCUUCGCCUAAAAGAUUCGGCCACACCAGUGAUUUUCAAAUCAUCUACGGAGCAAAGUGGAUCGUCAUCCAACGCUGACAACUUGAGGUGUUCCAUAAUGCACUUUUGAAGUACUGUCCAAAGCGACUUCACUUUCAAUUCCCAUCAAUGCAGGCACGCACUAUGCUAGCCAUUAUGGAUCUCAACGAGAAUCACAGCACAAAGCGGCAGCAGGCUUUCACAGCAGCUGGCCAAGACAGGAACAGACAAGAUCAAGCCACACACAAUAUCAGGGAGAAAGAGGAAGACCAAGCAGG